CCGACGGGAGGCAGCAGGGAGGAAUAUUGGGCAAUGGGCGCGAGCCUGAACCAGCCAAGGCGCGUGAGGGAAGACGGUCCGAUGGAGUGUAAACCUCUUUUGUCGGGGAGCAAAAGACGCCACGCGUGGCGUUCCGAGAGUACCCGAAGAAAAAGCAUCGGCUAACUCCGUGCCAGCAGCCGCGGUAAUACGGAGGAUGCGAGCGUUAUCCGGAUUUAUUGGGUUUCAAGGGUGCGCAGGCGGAAGAUCAAGUCAGUGGUAAAAUUGAGAGGCUCAACCUCUUCGAGCCGUUGAAACUGGUUUUCUUGCGUGCGUGAGAUGUAUGCGGACUGCGUGGUGUAGCGGU
rnacentral:rRNA from 1 species